rnacentral:rRNA from 1 species
GACUGCAGGCUGCAACUCGCCUGCACGAAGUCGGAAUUGCUAGUAAUCGUAGGUCAGCAUACUACGGUGAAUACGUUCCCGGGCCUUGUACACACCGCCCGUCAAACCAUGAGAGUUGGCAACACCCGAAGUCGGUAGUCUAACCGCAAGGAGGACGCCGCCGAAGGUGGGGUUGAUGAUUAGGGUUAAGUCGUAACAAGGUACC